rnacentral:lncRNA from 1 species
ACUGAUUGCGAUGCUUUUUCCAGUUGGAACAAGUGAAAUGGCAGAAAACAGAGUAAACACGUGCCAGUUCAUGGUCCAUGAGGGGCUCCCAGAGCUUACUCCUGGCGUCACAGCACUAGAUCUGGUUGCAGGAACAUUUCAUUCCAAACCUCCCCAGCAAAAGAGCUGACGUCCCUCACAGUGCCCUGGGCCCAGCCCUGACUGAGCCGGGAAAACGCAGCAAUCCCAGUAGAACAAUAAACUGAUGUUGUACAUUUUCCAAAUUUCAAGCUUCAGAAUAUAUAGGUUCAUUUUUCAUUUCAUUUCAUUUUUAUAGAUUUUUGUCCACUAUUAGGUCAAGG